AUAAAUGAAGCGGUCUGGAAAGGCCCGCCAAAGACGGUAACAGCCCGGUAGUUGAAAUGGCUUUCCCUCCAGAGUGGAUCCUGAGUACGGCGGAACACGUGAAAUUCCGUCGGAAUCCGGGAGGACCAUCUCCCAAGGCUAAAUACUCCCUAGUGACCGAUAGUGAACCAGUACCGUGAGGGAAAGGUGAAAAGCACCCCGGAAGGGGAGUGAAACAGUUCCUGAAACCGUGUGCCUACAAGUAGUUAGAGCCCGUUAAUGGGUGAUAGCGUGCCUUUUGUAGAAUGAACCGGCGAGUUACGAUUUGUUGCAAGGUUAAGCGGAAAAAGCGGAGCCGUAGCGAAAGCGAGUCUGAAUAGGGCGCAUAAGUAACAGGUCGUAGACCCGAAACCAGGUGAUCUACCCAUGUCCAGGAUGAAGGUAAGGUAAUACUUACUGGAGGUCCGAACCCACGCACGUUGAAAAGUGCGGGGAUGAGGUGUGGGUAGCGGAGAAAUUCCAAUCGAACUUGGAGAUAGCUGGUUCUCUCCGAAAUAGCUUUAGGGCUAGCCUCGAGGUAAAGAGUCAUGGAGGUAGAGCACUGUUUGGACUAGGGGCCCUUCUCGGGUUACCGAAUUCAGAUAAACUCCGAAUGCCAUGUACUUAUACUCGGGAGUCAGACUGCGAGUGAUAAGAUCCGUAGUCGAAAGGGAAACAGCCCAGACCACCAGUUAAGGUCCCCAAAUAUAUGUUAAGUGGAAAAGGAUGUGGGGUUGCUUAGACAACCAGGAUGUUGGCUUAGAAGCAGCCACCAUUGAAAGAGUGCGUAAUAGCUCACUGGUCGAGUGACCCCGCGCCGAAAAUGUACCGGGGCUAAACAUAUUACCGAAACUGUGGAUGAACCUCUUUAGAGGUUCGUGGUAGGAGAGCGUUCUAAGGGCGGUGAAGUCAGACCGGAAGGACUGGUGGAGCGCUUAGAAGUGAGAAUGCCGGUAUGAGUAGCGAAAGAAGGGUGAGAAUCCCUUCCACCGAAUAUCUAAGGUUUCCUGAGGAAGGCUCGUCCGCUCAGGGUUAGUCGGGACCUAAGCCGAGGCCGAUAGGCGUAGGCGAUGGACAACAGGUAGAGAUUCCUGUACCAGUGCUAAUUGUUUAACCGAUGGGGUGACACAGAAGGAUAGGGAAUCGCACGAAUGGAAAUGUGCGUCCAAGCAGUGAGUGUGAGAAGUAGGCAAAUCCGCUUCUCGCGAAGCAUGAGCUGUGAUGGGGAAGGAAAUUAAGUACGGAAGUUCCUGAUUUCACGCUGUCAAGAAAAGCCUCUAGGAAGAGUAGUACUGCCCGUACCGCAAACCGACACAGGUAGAUGAGGAGAGAAUCCUAAGGUGAGCGAGAGAACUCUCGUUAAGGAACUCGGCAAAAUGACCCCGUAACUUCGGGAGAAGGGGUGCUCUAUUAGGGUGCAAGCCCGAGAGAGCCGCAGUGAAUAGGCCCAGGCGACUGUUUAGCAAAAACACAGGUCUCUGCAAAACCGUAAGGUGACGUAUAGGGGCUGACGCCUGCCCGGUGCUGGAAGGUUAAGAGGAGUGCUUAGCUUCGGCGAAGGUACGAAUUGAAGCCCCAGUAAACGGCGGCCGUAACUAUAACGGUCCUAAGGUAGCGAAAUUCCUUGUCGGGUAAGUUCCGACCCGCACGAAAGGCGCAACGAUCUGGGCACUGUCUCAACGAGAGACUCGGUGAAAUUAUAGUACCUGUGAAGAUGCAGGUUACCCGCGACAGGACGGAAAGACCCCGUGGAGCUUUACUGCAACCUGAUAUGGAAUGUUUGUACCGCUUGUACAGGAUAGGUAGGAGCCGAAGAGACGUGUGCGCUAGCAUACGAGGAGGCAAUGGUGGGAUACUACCCUGGCUGUAUGACCAUUCUAACCCGCCACGCUUAGCGCGUGGGGAGACAGUGUCAGGUGGGCAGUUUGACUGGGGCGGUCGCCUCCUAAAGAGUAACGGAGGCGCCCAAAGGUUCCCUC
rnacentral:rRNA from 1 species